ACAGUUGGCAUUUCUGGAAGAUUCAAUGGCAGGCAAUGGCCUGCUAACAUUAGGCCCUGUGAAAUAUAAUUUGUGUGAUUCUGUUCUAAUUUGUACUUUGCCAAGUGGGGGCAUUGUUUCAUCUCUCUGUUUUAUUUCAUGUGAGCAGUCGGCCAACUGCAUUGCAAGACAAGACUAGGGAGAUUGAUGAGGAUGAUGUCCAUGAUAGGGAUUAUGAUGUUGCAGCUCUUGCAAAUAAUUUAAGCCAAGCAUUCAUAUACAACGCUACGCAAUUACUUGACAGGAAAUCAAGUCGAGAAAACAUUCAGAGCUGGAAGUAAGAAUCCAGUCAUAUUAGGUUCUAAACAAAAGUUGGAAAGUUGACAUAAGCGACUCUUGGAAAAGCUAGAAAAUUGGGAUCCAGUAGCUGUCAAAGUACGCGGAAGCAUUUUGUUCUUGAGACUAGUUGGAGAUUUACAUGGUGCAAUUUGGAUUGUCUACUCAAAUUUUUGUAGGUAGUGAUUGUUCAUUUUUUUUGUUGGUUGUAUAUUAUUUGUGGAAGAGGUGAUUAACAAGGACCAAUGAAUCUGUAUCAAAUCUAAUUUUUUAAGAUAUUCAUGGAGAUGGUUGGAUUGACAGAUCAA